AUUGAACGCUGGCGGCAGGCCUAACACAUGCAAGUCGAGCGAGCGGCGGACGGGUGAGUAAUGUCUGGGAAACUGCCUGAUGGAGGGGGAUAACUACUGGAAACGGUAGCUAAUACCGCAUACCAUCAGAUGUGCCCAGAUGGGAUUAGCUAGUAGGUGGGGUAACGGCUAGCCCAGGCGACGCGCCGUAACUGGUCUGAGAGGAUGAUCAGUCACACGGGAACUUAGACACGGUCCAGAAUCCUACGGGAGGCAGCAGUGGGAAAUAUUGGACAAUGGGCGCAGGCCUGAUCCAGCCAUGGCGCGUGUGUGAAGAAGGUCUUCGGAUUGUAAAGCACUUUAAGUUUGGAGGCGUUACCAACAGAGUAAGCACCGGCUAACUUCGUGCCAGCAGCCGCGGUAAUUC
rnacentral:rRNA from 1 species